AAAAUGACUCUCGGCAACGGAUAUCUCGGCUCUCGCAUCGAUGAAGAACGCAGCGAAAUGCGAUACUUGGUGUGAAUUGCAGGAUCCCGCGAACCAUCGAGUCUUUGAACGCAAGUUGCGCCCGAAGCCUUUUGGCCGAGGGCACGUCUGCCUGGGUGUCA
rnacentral:rRNA from 1 species